rnacentral:rRNA from 1 species
GAUGAACGCUGGCGGCGUGCCUAAUACAUGCAAGUCGAGCGAACAGACGAGGAGCUUGCUCCUCUGACGUUAGCGGCGGACGGGUGAGUAACACGUGGAUAACCUACCUAUAAGACUGGGAUAACUUCGGGAAACCGGAGCUAAUACCGGAUAAUAUAUUGAACCGCAUGGUUCAAUAGUGAAAGACGGUUUUGCUGUCACUUAUAGAUGGAUCCGCGCCGCAUUAGCUAGUUGGUAAGGUAACGGCUUACCAAGGCAACGAUGCGUAGCCGACCUGAGAGGGUGAUCGGCCACACUGGAACUGAGACACGGUCCAGACUCCUACGGGAGGCAGCAGUAGGGAAUCUUCCGCAAUGUGCGAAAGCUUGACGGAGCAACGCCGCGUGAGUGAUGAAGGUCUUCGGAUCGUAAAACUCUGUUAUUAGGGAAGAACAAAUGUGUAAGUAACUAUGCACGUCUUGACGGUACCUAAUCAGAAAGCCACGGCUAACUACGUG